UGAGGAAUAUUGGUCAAUGGGCGCAAGCCUGAACCAGCCAUCCCGCGUGCAGGAAGACGGCCCUAUGGGUUGUAAACUGCUUUUCCAGGGGGAGAAUUUUUCUGUCGUGACAGGAAUUGACGGUACCCUGGGAAUAAGCAUCGGCUAACUCCGUGCCAGCAGCUGCGGUAAUACGGAGGAUGCGAGCGUUAUCUGGAUUUAUUGGGUUUAAAGGGUGCGUAGGCGGAUUGAUAAGUCAGUGGUGAAAACCUGCAGCUUAACUGUAGACUUGCCGUUGAUACUGUCAGUCUUGAGUGUGGUCAAGGUAGGCGGAAUGUGUAAUGUAGCGGUGAAAUGCUUAGAUAUUACACAGAACACCGAUUGCGAAGGCAGCUUACUGGGCCAUUACUGACGCUGAGGCACGAAAGCGUGGGGAUCGAACAG
rnacentral:rRNA from 1 species